CCUACGGGUGGCAGCAGUCGAGAAUCAUUCACAAUGGGGGAAACCCUGAUGGUGCGACGCCGCGUGGGGGAAUGAAGGUCUUCGGAUUGUAAACCCCUGUCAUGUGGGAGCAAAUUAAAAAGAUAGUACCACAAGAGGAAGAGACGGCUAACUCUGUGCCAGCAGCCGCGGUAAUACAGAGGUCUCAAGCGUUGUUCGGAAUCACUGGGCGUAAAGCGUGCGUAGGCUGUUUCGUAAGUCGUGUGUGAAAGGCGCGGGCUCAACCCGCGGACGGCAGAUGAUACUGCGAGACUAGAGUAAGGGAGGGGGAACCGGAAUUCUCGGUGUAGCAGUGAAAUGCGUAGAUAUCGAGAGGAACACUCGUGGCGAAGGCGGGUUCCUGGACAUUAACUGACGCUGAGGCACGAAGGCCAGGGGAGCGAAAGGGAUUAGAUACCCGAGUAGUC
rnacentral:rRNA from 1 species